CGGAGCUCCUGACCUGAUGGGAGUCCACCCUCUCCCCCGCCUUGGCCAGCACCCCCUGCCCAGUUUCACCCAAAGUUCCCACUCCGCCCCGUGCGAGUCCUUUCCCCUGGGGCUGAGACAGAGGACACCAGGCAGUGUUUGAGGAGCCCCCUUCUGUGGAUACCUCCCAGUGGUUAUGUUGGGCGAAAAGAAGGAAAAGGGUUGGGAAGAAGCCAGUCAGCUGUCCAGUGCCCUGAGGCCUGACCCCCUCCAUCCUCAGGCCCUGAGUCCUGACUGCCUCCACCCUGAGGCCCUGAGUCCUGACCAUCCUCCACCCUGAGGCCCUGAGUCCUGACCAUCCUCCACCCUGAGGCCCUGGGCCCUGACCCCCCUCCACUCUGAGGCCCUGGUCCCCGGCCUGGCUGGGCCCCCGAGCAGUGAGCAGGGCAGCAGGGCGGAGUGAGCAGGUUCCCCCAGGUGACCAUCAGGUGACGCCUGGUCCUGGGCACCCUGCACCCUCUGUGCUUGGCCAGUGGUCCCUCCACUCAGCUCUCCCAGGGGCCCGGGCUGACCCUGGCUGCCCUAACCAUGUCGGUGUAUGGUGCCCGAGGGCUCAGGCCAGACAAGUGUCUACCAAGGGCAGCAAACGCUGGGGCACCUGGCCCGAGGCCACAGGAAUAAGCAGCCUCCCGCAGAGCCUGGCAUGUUGGGGGUUGAGUGCUCUCAUCUCCCUGUUUAAUGAUUUCCUCAGCAAACACAUCCUCGGGAUUGCUCAAGGCUGAGGUCACUGUUCAGCUCAGCUUCCCGGGAGCCUGUGAAGACAUUUGCAAAAGGGUCCACUGAAAACAGCACGGGCUGGGCUGCCAGCAACCCGGUGGGUGGGAGGGCAACCUCCAAAAAACCCUCCGGUCAGAAAACAAAAUGGCAAAAAGACGUCUCCUCUGGGGGCCCGGUCCAUAACAGAUGCGCCUUUGAAAUCCUGGGCCAGGCGUCUGUCCAGAGCAGUGAAUUCUCCAAGGGAAGGCGGGGUUAGGAUGCUGCACCCAUCCCUGGUGGAAUUCCAGGUGGAGCUGGGAAGAGCAUUGCUCCCACCCACAAGAAAAAAGCUACAACUGCAUGUCAACAGCGCGUGAUCCGUCCAGGAGCCCGGAACCAACCUGGAAGAGGCGGGUUCCUCUGCGGGUGGGACCCUGGGCAGGUGCCCGGCCAGAUCACCGUGUCAGCUGGUGAGAAGUGUGAGCUGGGGAUAGUCAGCAGACUGCGGCCUGGGAUGGCUGCUGGGCGGGGUGGAGAUCGUGAAUCUCCACCAAAGGGGGACCUGCUCACUCUGCCCUGCUCAUCUGGCCCCAGAGGGACCGGGCUCUUCCCACAGUACUGGCUGAGGGAGGGGCACCCUCCGGGGCCACGGAGCCCAGGGAGGCCCGGGAUGCCAGGACGUGGAGACGUGUGCUGUGAGCAGCGCACCUGGAGGAGGGGCCGGAGAACGCGGAGCACACCUGAGCCCAGGCCCACGGUGGAGGAUGUCCCUCUGGGCUCUGCAGUGGGCAAGGCCAGGAGAGCUGGGAGGGACAGGUCUCUCUCUCUCCACCCCCUCAGGAGGUGAAGCCCCAGGGCCAGGCAGAGACAAGCACAAGUGCGGCUGGAGCAGCCUGAGGGUCGCCGUGGCCACAGCAGACAUCAAACCAGGGGACUCCUGCAGGGCUGGGCUCAGCCCCAUGGUAAAGGCAGGCAGAGGAUGGGGGCUGUUAGGGGCUGAGCGGUGUCCCCCAAAUCCAUGCAUCAAAGCCCUAACAGCCAGGACCCCAGAAGGUGACUGUAUUUGGAGACAGCUUUUAAAGAGGUGAUUAAGGUAAAAUUCAGUCCUUAGGGCAGGCCCUGAUCCAGUCUGCCUGGGGUCCUUAUAAGGGGAGGGAGGACACAGACACACGGAGGGGUGGCCCUGCGAGGACCCAGGGAGGAGACGCCGCCCACAAGCCAAGGAGAGGCUGCGGGAGGAACCGGGCCUGCCACACGGGGACCUGGGACGUCCAGCCUCCAGGACGCAGAGAAACAACGGUCUGCUGAGGAAGCCGCCCGGCAUGCAGCAUUUGUGCUGGCAGCCCUGAGAAAACUUGAAUAGGAUGCUCCGCUGCUGGCAUGAGAGCUGUUUUCCUGCAAGGCUGGGCAACUCCUCCACCGCUGGCGGGUGGAAAAUGGGGCGGCCGCCACGUGCCUGGUUUAUCCCAGAGAGGUGAGGACCUGGGUACGCGCAAGCACACAAGCCUGUGUGGCAGUGUCCACUGUGGCAAUGCCAGGACAAUGAUGGCUGGAAAGGACCCGAAGUGCCGCCCUGGUAAUGGGGUGACAGACGGGAACAUCUGAGGCAGGAGGCGGUGCUCAGAUACUGGACCACAUUGAGGCCUAGCUAACACAGGGCAGGGGCACAGGUAGCUUUCCAUGAGGCACGCCCUCCAGUGCGCCAUGUCAGUUUACGGUUGCCACGGCAAUACCUGGGCAUUACUGCCCCUUUCCAUGGCAACUACCCGACCACCCAAGAGUUACUACUCCUUCCCUAGAAGGAGUGUCCACCUCACACAAGGACCGUACUGGGGCGGCGUCCAGAAGGAGUGUCCACCUCACACAAGGACCGUGCUGGGGCGGCGUCCAGAAGGAGUGUCCACCUCACACAAGGACCGUGCUGGGGCGGCGUCCGAGAAGUGUGGGGCUGUCUGCGGCCUUGAGGGCCUCGUGGGCACAGUGCAGACUUGGACACAGGUGGCAGGACUGGGCGCUCGGAGCUGAGGACGGGUCCAGGAGAUGCCGACACCAGCUAAGCUCCUGCUGUGAGACCCCGACCCCGGGGCGUUCAGGAACUCCACCCUUUCUGAUCGCAUCACCCUCAUGGACAGCCUGCAAGUCCAGUGACGUUGUCUCCAUUUCACAGAUGGAGAGGCUGAGGCUUGGUGCCGAGGGCUUCCCACACAUCUGGGAGUGGGAGCUGUUCUCAGGCCAAGCCACCCUGGGUCCCUGGGAACUCACUCCAUCCUGUGUGAUUCCCUGUGUGUCCCCUGCCCAGACCCCUCAGAGCCAAACUCAAAUGGCAGCUUGGCACCAACACGUUCCCAACAAAGGGAACGUCCACCAUCCCAGAACCCGCCCACUUCAUUGCCCCGCACUGCUGCACACCCAGCCCUGCAGGCGGCAGCCCCAGGAGCAACAGACACCUCCUCACACACCUCCAGGUCCCCAGCGUGGCACGCAGCCUCCAAGCACCUGACCACCGUGCCAGCUCCCGGUCCACCUGGCCCAGGCCCACUCCCCUGGGUGUUGGCAGGAGCCCCGCCUGGACUCUCACACCCCAGGCCUCCAGUCUGCACCAGCAUCUGCAAGCCCAGAUCCUUCUAUGGCCCUCCCAGCUGAGGACACACCCCAGGCCUCGCAGGGCCUGCUGGUCUCUGCCAACACCUGCAAAGCUCUCUGCGCCUCUGCCCGGCAGCCUCCUCCUUCCCGCAACUCCACCUCAGCCUCGGGACAUUUGCCCAGCGUCCCCUCUGUCAAUCCACUCUCCCCUGGGUCUCCGUGCCCCCAGUGUCACCUGAACAUCCCCUUGCUGACCUGCUGUGCAGCCAGGUCCCCACCAUAAGCACUGUCAUUACGCC
rnacentral:lncRNA from 1 species